rnacentral:rRNA from 1 species
AGCGAACGCUGGCGGCAGGCCUAACACAUGCAAGUCGAACGAACCUUUCGGGGUUAGUGGCGGACGGGUGAGUAACACGUGGGAACGUGCCUUUAGGUUCGGAAUAACUCAGGGAAACUUGUGCUAAUACCGAAUGUGCCCUUCGGGGGAAAGAUUUAUCGCCUUUAGAGCGGCCCGCGUCUGAUUUGCUAGUUGGUUGAGGUAAUGGCUCACCAAGGCGACGAUCAGUAGCUGGUCUGAGAGGAUGAUCAGCCACAUUGGGACUGAGACACGGCCCAAACUCCUACGGGAGGCAGCAGUGGGGAAUCUUGCGCAAUGGGCGAAAGCCUGACGCAGCCAUGCCGCGUGAAUGAUGAAGGUCUUAGGAUUGUAAAAUUCUUUCACCGGGGACGAUAAUGACGGUAUCCGGAGAAGAAGCCCCGGCUAACUUCGUG